AACGAACGCUGGCGGCAUGCCUAACACAUGCAAGUCGAACGAGACCUUCGGGUCUAGUGGCGCACGGGUGCGUAACGCGUGGGAACCUGCCCUUAGGUUCGGAAUAACUCCCCGAAAGGGGUGCUAAUACCGGAUAAUGUCUUCGGACCAAAGAUUUAUCGCCUUUGGAUGGGCCCGCGUUGGAUUAGCUAGUUGGUAGGGUAAAAGCCUACCAAGGCGACGAUCCAUAGCUGGUCUGAGAGGAUGAUCAGCCACACUGGGACUGGGACACGGCCCAAAUACUUGCGGGGGGGAGAAGGGGGGAACUUGGGAAACUGGGCGAAAGCCGAAUGCAGUAGGGCCGGGUAGGUGAUGAAGGCCUUAGGGUUGGAAGGCUCUUUUUACCGGGAUGUUAAGACAAUACCCGGAGAAAAAACCCCGGCUAACCUCGUG
rnacentral:rRNA from 1 species